CUUACUGGUUUGGUCGCUUUAUUAAUUGAUCAAGAAUGAGAAAGAAAUUCGGAAUCUGUUUUGCUUGUUUUUUAGUCUUGACUUCAACUAUGCCGGUGCUACUUAUUUUGAUCUGAUUUAAUUGAAAAAAAAAAAUAACUUUUUCUUUAACACCAAUGAUGGAUUUUCAAGUUUGAGAUUUGAGGUGAUCAUAAUUGGCAAGUAAUUAAAUUGAUUCUUUCAAGUAGUGGUUGCUUAGUUACCAAAAAAGAAAAGUCUGGAUUUGGAUGCUUAAUGAGGCAUUAGGUCUUACAGAUUUCAAAUCUUUAUAAGGUUUGAUAUGAAGAAAAUUAGUGGGAGGGUGAUCCAGAUAUAUGGCAACUUAGUUAGCUUCUUGCGGAAAUGCAUUUUUUUCAUUCUUUCUGUUGGUGCCAUCCCUAAUCAUAUUGCAUUCAUCAUGGAUGGGAAUCGGAGAUACACAAAGAGGUGGAAUUUGAUGGAAGGAACUGGCCAUAAAGUUGGGUUUUUGGCUCUCAUGUCUAUGCUCAAGUACUGUUACGAAUUUGGUGUGAGAUAUGUAACAAUAUAUGCCUUCAGCAUUGACAAUUUCAGGCGAAGUCCUGAAGAAGUUCAAUCUUUGAUGGACCUGAUGCUAGAAAAGAUUGAAGAGUUAAUCAAGGAAGAGAGCAUUGUCAAUCAUUAUGGUGUUAGAGUUUACUUUUCUGGGAACCUGAAACUCUUGAGUGAACCAGUUAGGUUGGCAGCUGAGAGAGCUAUGCUUGCCACCGCUAAGAAUUCCAAAGCAGUUUUGUCUAUUUGCAUUGCUUACACUUCCACCAAUGAGAUAGUGCAUGCCAUUCAAGAAUCAUGCGAAGAAAAAUGGGAUGAAAUUACUGUACUGAAUUCAAGUGGAGCAGGUUAUGGUUUAAUCAGACUCGGAGGGAAUGAACAUGAUGAAAGGGAUUACCUUAUAAAACUUACUGAUAUCGAAAGCCAUAUGUAUAUGGCAGUUGCUCCUGAUCCUGAUAUCAUAAUACGUACAUCUGGUGAGACACGUCUGAGCAAUUUUCUUUUAUGGCAGAGUGCAAACUGUUAUUUGUAUUCUCCUUCAGUGCUUUGGCCAGAGAUUGGUCUUCGUCAAUUUCUAUGGGCCAUAUUGAAUUUUCAGCGGAUUCACUUUUACUUUGACAACAAAAGGAAGCAGUUGUAAAAUCCUUCCAUAUGAUGAUUUGCUUUGUUUAUGGGAAGUUUUUUAUCAUCUUUGGUAAUGGUAACAGAUUCCACCAUAAGCUUGGACUUGCUUUUGGUACCCUUACUGUUGUUAUAUACCUUAGUAUACAAAAAUCAAUUGAUUACAUUUGCAGGAACUUCUUACAUGCUUGGAUGUCUAUGAACAAGCAAAGUGCUUCUGAGUUGUAUACUGACAGACAGUAAUACGCAAUAGGCUAAGAGGAUGGAGCAAAGAAUUUUAUUACACUUUGUUGGGGGUUUAUGAUUGGGUCUGUAACCCAUGCAAUGAUCUGUUUUCAUCUAGAACUGAUGAUUGUGCUAUUUCUUUCAUUUUUCUUUUUCUCUUUCAUUUUUUGUCCUUUAUUAUUAAAGCUGAGAUAUGCAUGUGCUUGGUAGGCUUAACAUGUGUUCAGCUUUUAUGUAAAACUGCAUUGAUACCUGAUCGAACUUGCAUUGCAUAAGUUAUACUCUUACUUGGACAGUUUCUUUGAUUUUAUAUUUAACCAUCUACAAGAAACCCAAGGCUGAAUAGGUAUACCUUUCAACUUCAUAUUUUGUUGGAAAUAAGUAUGUUGCUUUCAAAGUUACUGAAAUUAGUAGUAUGUCUUAAUGUGGCUUGAUAUUAUCUUGGUUGAAAUUUUCCUAUUAUAAGUUAGUUUAACAGCAAUAGUGUAUUACUAAAAUUGGCAUUCUUGUUUUAAGAAUAUACCAUUCAAGUUGUUCACCGCCAUCAAAGUUUUCCGUUAUGUUGAUGGCUUAAGAUGCAUCUGCAGAGGGCCUUCUGAUGUCUCAUGCAGAGCAGGUUUGUUUUUUGUAUUGAGUAGCUGCAAAUAAUGUGAGAGGGGCAGCCAGGUGCAUUGUACUUGGAACAUGGAAUUGCCUUCAUGGUAAAAGGAUAGUAUUUAAAAUAUCUGGUGCAUGCAUAUUAAUGGUAACAUUCUCUUUCUUGAAAUUCCUUGCCUUUUCCUUUCUGCUAGAAAUUAUCAGGACCUAUCGCCAAUCAAUUACAAAAAUUCAUUUUUUUUAUUUCCAUAUUCUCAAUAGAAGAAACGUUUUUCCCGCUGUUCAUAAUGAUCCUUUCAGCCCUGUCCCAGCAGCCCAACUUUUUCUUGUUUUGAUUUUGUGGCGUUUUGCAUUUGGUUUGUUCUGCUUCGGCUUUCUGUUAUUCUAAUGGUACUUUAAAAUUAUCACUAACAUAGUGAACAAACGCCAAGUUUUCAUUCGUUUUAUCAAUUUACUGUUGUUCAGCUUUUGGCCAAGUUUCUCUUUGAUAAUUUGAGGAAGAUGGCUGUGCCAAUUUUCUAUGGAAGGUUUAUCUUGAUGUGGUCCAUGAAGAAACAAAACUAUAGAGGGAUUCGGGUUAGUAAUUUCUUAGCCCCCUAGGUGAAUUAUUACUGUGGGGCAACCCAUUAGUGUAUUCUAAUGCAGUACCUGGCAUUAUCUUAUGCGAAUCAAAGACAUUGUUACAUAAUUUAAGUGCUAGGUAGAAUAAAAAAGACCAUCAUUAUCAUGUCAAUAUCCAACUACUGUAUAAGCAUAAAAUUAUGGUAAUGGAUUCCAGCUAAGAAUAGCAACACCUCGUGUUUUUCAAGUAGAGAGCUUUUACAAAGCAAAAGUAGUUCAAGCACAUGCGUUUCUUUCUCGAAGAAGAGAUCAAAUCUCGCCAAAUUUAUAGCUCUACGCUCCCUUGUAGCGGCUGUCAUUGACCAUUGUGUCCGUUGAUAACG